ensembl:snoRNA
AUCCCUCACCACUGUACAAACAAGGAUGAUGGUUGGGUUUUCAUGCUCGUGUGGGAGAUGGACCUCUCUUAGACCUUCUUAAAACUUCUGCACAUUACUUAUCUGAUG